UACGGGGGGAGCAAGCGUUGUUCGGAUUUACUGGGCGUAAAGGGCGCGUAGGCGGCCACCGCAAGUCGACUGUGAAAUCUCCGGGCUUAACCCGGAAAGGUCAGCCGAUACUGCGGGGGCUAGAGUGCAGAAGGGGCAACUGGAAUUCUCGGUGUAGCGGUGAAAUGGCGUAGAUAUCGAGAGGAACACCUGCGGCGAAGGCGGGUUGCUGGGCUGACACUGACGCUGAGGCGCGAAAGCUAGGGGAGCGAACGGG
rnacentral:rRNA from 1 species